GCGCCCGUAGCUCAGCUGGAUAGAGCAACGGCCUUCUAAGCCGUGGGUCGUAGGUUCGAGUCCUACCGGGCGCGCCA
rnacentral:tRNA from 2 species